AUUGAACGCUGGCGGCAGGCCUAACACAUGCAAGUCGAGCGGAGCGGCGGACGGGUGAGUAAUGCCUAGGAAUCUGCCUGGUAGUGGGGGCUAACGUCCGGAAACGGGCGCUAAUACCGCAUACUAUCAGAUGAGCCUAGGUCGGAUUAGCUAGUUGGUGGGGUAAAGGCCUACGUAGGCGACGAUCCGUAACUGGUCUGAGAGGGUGAUCAGUCACACUGGAACUGGGACACGGUCCGGAAUCCUACGGGAGGCAGCAGUGGGGAAUAUUGGACAAUGGGCGAAAGCCUGAGCCAGCCAUGCCGCGUGUGUGAAGAAGUUCUUCGGAUUGUAGAGCACUGUAAGUUGGGAGGCGUUACCAACAGAAUGAGCACCGGCUAACUUCGUGCGAGCAGCCGCGGUAAUUC
rnacentral:rRNA from 1 species